AACGAACGCUGGCGGCAUGCCUAACACAUGCAAGUCGAACGAGACCUUCGGGUCUAGUGGCGCACGGGUGCGUAACGCGUGGGAACCUGCCCUUAGGUUCGGAAUAACUCCCCGAAAGGGGUGCUAAUACCGGAUAAUGUCUUCGGACCAAAGAUUUAUCGCCUUUGGAUGGGCCCGCGUUGGAUUAGCUAGUUGGUAGGGUAAAAGCCUACCAAGGCGACGAUCCAUAGCUGGUCUGAGAGGAUGAUCAGCCACACUGGGACUGAGACACGGCCCAGACCCCUAGGGGGGGCAGGGGUGGGGAAAUUGGGACAAGGGGCGAAAGCCUGACCCAGCAAUGCCGGGGGAGUGAUGAAGGCUUUAGGUUUGUAAAGCUCUUUUCCCCGGGAUGAUAAUGACAGUACGGGGAAAAAAAGCCCCGGCAAACCCCGG
rnacentral:rRNA from 1 species